rnacentral:rRNA from 1 species
UACGGAGGGGACUAGCGUUGUUCGGAAUUACUGGGCGUAAAGCGCACGUAGGCGGAUUUGUAAGUCAGAGGUGAAAUCCCGGGGCUCAACCUCGGAACUGCCUUUGAUACUGCAAAUCUCGAGUCCGGAAGAGGUGAGUGGAAUUCCUAGUGUAGAGGUGAAAUUCGUAGAUAUUGGGAGGAACACCAGUGGCGAAGGCGGCUCGCUGGACCGGAACUGACGCUGAGGCGCGAAAGCGUGGGGAGCAAACAGG